GACGAACGCUGGCGGCGUGCCUAAUACAUGCAAGUAGAACGCACAGUUUAUACCGUAGCUUGCUACACCAUAGACUGUGAGUUGCGAACGGGUGAGUAACGCGUAGGUAACCUGCCUGGUAGCGGGGGAUAACUAUUGGAAACGAUAGCUAAUACCGCAUAAUAUUGAUUAUUGCAUGAUAAUUGAUUGAAAGAUGCUAUUGCAUCACUACCAGAUGGACCUGCGUUGUAUUAGCUAGUAGGUGAGGUAACGGCUCACCUAGGCGACGAUACAUAGCCGACCUGAGAGGGUGAGCGGCCACACUGGGACUGAGACACGGCCCAGACUCCUACGGGAGGCAGCAGUAGGGAAUCUUCGGCAAUGGACGAAAGUCUGACCGAGAAACGCCGCGUGAGUGAAGAAGGUUUUCGGAUCGUAAAGCUCUGUUGUAAGAGAAGAACGGGUGUGAGAGUGGAAAGUUCACACUGUGACGGUAACUUACCAGAAAGGGACGGCUAACUACGUG
rnacentral:rRNA from 1 species